rnacentral:rRNA from 1 species
AGAGUUUGAUCCUGGCUCAGGACGAACGCUGGCGGCGUGCUUAACACAUGCAAGUCGAACGGUAAGGCCCCUUCGGGGGUACACGAGUGGCGAACGGGUGAGUAACACGUGGGUGAUCUGCCCUGCACUCUGGGAUAAGCCUGGGAAACUGGGUCUAAUACCGGAUAUGAGCUCCUGUCGCAUGGCGGGGGGUUGGAAAGGUUUACUGGUGCAGGAUGGGCCCCGCGGCCUAUCAGCUUGUUGGUGGGGUAAUGGCCUACCAAGGCGACGACGGGUAGCCGGCCUGAGAGGGCGACCGGCCACACUGGGACUGAGACACGGCCCAGACUCCUACGGGAGGCAGCAGUGGGGAAUAUUGCACAAUGGGCGAAAGCCUGAUGCAGCGACGCCGCGUGAGGGAUGACGGCCUUCGGGUUGUAAACCUCUUUCAGCAGGGACGAAGCGAGAGUGACGGUACCUGCAGAAGAAGCACCGGCCAACUACGUGCCAGCAGCCGCGGUAAUACGUAGGGUGCGAGCGUUGUCCGGAAUUACUGGGCGUAAAGAGCUCGUAGGCGGUUUGUCGCGUCGUCCGUGAAAACUUGGGGCUCAACCCCAAGCUUGCGGGCGAUACGGGCAGACUUGAGUACUGCAGGGAGAGAGGGAAUUCCUGGUGUAGCGGUGAAAUGCGCAGAUAUCAGGAGGAACACCGGUGGCGAAGGCGGGUCUCUGGGCAGUAACUGACGCUGAGGAGCGAAAGCGUGGGUAGCGAACAGGAUUAGAUACCCUGGUAGUCCACGCCGUAAACGGUGGGCGCUAGGUGUGGGUUUCCUUCCACGGGAUCCGUGCCGUAGCUAACGCAUUAAGCGCCCCGCCUGGGGGGAGUUACGGCCGCAAGGCUAAAACUGCAAGGAAUGACGGGGGGGGGGGGGCCAGCACACGCGGCGGAGCAUGUGGAUUCAUUCGAUGCAACGCGAAGAAACCUUACCUGGGUUUGAAUAUACCGGAAAGCCGUAGAGAUACCGGCCCCCCUUGUGGUCGGUAUACAGGUGGUGGCAUGGCUGUCGUCAGCUCGGUCGUGAGAUGUUGGGUUAAGUCCCGCAACCGAGCGCAACCUUGUCCUGUGUUGCCAGCGGCGUAAAGGGGGGACUCGCAGUGAGACUGCCGGGGUCAACUCGGAGGAAGGUGGGGACGACGUCAAAGUCAUUCAUGCCCCUUAUGUCCAGGAGCUUCACACAAUGCUACAAUGGCCGGUACAGAGGGCUGCGAUACCGUGAGGUGCGAGCGAAUCCCUUAAAGCCGGUCUCAGUGCGGAUCGGGGUCUGCAACUCGACCCCGUGAAGUCGGAGUCGCUAGUAAUCGCCAGACAGCAACGCUGCGGUGAAUACGUUCCCGGGCCUUGUACACACCGCCGUCACGUCAUGAAAGUCGGUAAACACCC